ACGUUGACUUCAUUCUGCACCGGGUGAGCUUCAUACACACAUACAUUUCAAAGCGAUCUUCACGCAAAAAUCAAAUACUUUCAACAUGAAAUUCUUUCUGUCCACCCUUAUUCUCGCAAUUUUGGCUGCUUACUCUGACCCACGUUGAGGAGGGAGUCGUCACAAAAUUUAAAACUUACGAACACGCCGGGACAGCGGAACGGGGCAAGCUUUUCGACAAGCUUUUUGCCAACUACAAUAAAGACAACUACCCAGAAAAUACAACCGUCAGUGUGGGCGUGGCUCUGUUGCGGGUCAGCUUUGUAAGGAAAAAUUUGAAACAACGUAAUUGAUAUUUAAUUACAGAACAAUCUCUGUAGAACGCCCGACUAAUCUCUACCCGAGAAAACGCUUCUACUUAAUGUGUCUCGGUUGAAGUUAAUAAGAGCCCUUUCUAAUGUGAAAUAUAACGUAUUAUUAUUCGUUGAUGGAAAUAAUACACUUUCAGAGGUCGUAUUGUUAAAUGACAAACAAACUACUACUUUAUUAAACAAUUUUACUGGCUAAUUGUCAACCCAAAAAUAACUACUUUCACGACUUAAAAUUCCACACCAUCACUACUGCGUGUCUGCUUGGUAAGUAAAAAGAACGGCGUGCUCUCCAUAUACUUAACACACUAAAAAGAAUAAAGAAUAACCUCCAAUCCAAUCA